GAUGAACGCUGGCGGCGUGCCUAAUACAUGCAAGUAGAACGCUGAAGGAAGGAGCUUGCUCUUUCCGGAUGAGUUGCGAACGGGUGAGUAACGCGUAGGUAACCUGCCUGGUAGCGGGGGAUAACUAUUGGAAACGAUAGCUAAUACCGCAUAACAGUAGAUGUUGCAUGAUAUCUACUUAAAAGGUGCAAUUGCACCACUACCAGAUGGACCUGCGUUGUAUUAGCUAGUUGGUGAGGUAACGGCUCACCAAGGCGACGAUACAUAGCCGACCUGAGAGGGUGAUCGGCCACACUGGGACUGAGACACGGCCCAGACUCCUACGGGAGGCAGCAGUAGGGAAUCUUCGGCAAUGGACGGAAGUCUGACCGAGCAACGCCGCGUGAGUGAAGAAGGUUUUCGAAUCGUAAAGCUCUGUUGUAAGAGAAGAACGAGUGUGAGAGUGGAAAGUUCACACUGUGACGGUAUCUUACUAGAAAGGGACGGCUAACUACGUG
rnacentral:rRNA from 1 species